GACGAACGCUGGCGGCGUGCUUAACACAUGCAAGUCGAACGGAAAGGCCCUGCUUUUGUGGGGUGCUCGAGUGGCGAACGGGUGAGUAACACGUGAGUAACCUGCCCUUGACUUUGGGAUAACUUCAGGAAACUGGGGCUAAUACCGGAUAGGAGCUCCUGCUGCAUGGUGGGGGUUGGAAAGUUUCGGCGGUUGGGGAUGGACUCGCGGCUUAUCGGCUUGUUGGUGGGGUAGUGGCUUACCAAGGCUUUGACGGGUAGCCGGCCUGAGAGGGUGACCGGCCACAUUGGGACUGAGAUACGGCCCAGACUCCUACGGGAGGCAGCAGUGGGGAAUAUGGCACAAUGGGCGGAAGCCGGAUGCAGCAACGCCGCGUGCGGGAUGACGGCCUUCGGGUUGUAAACCGCUGUCGCCUGUGACGAAGCGUGAGUGACGGUAAUGGGUAAAGAAGCACCGGCUAACUACGUG
rnacentral:rRNA from 1 species